GAAAUCCCAGGGAGAAACAGCAGGAGUGUGAGUCAUUCCUCCUCGAGGCGUUUUUGAAAUGGGAGCUUUGUGAAGGUUGUGCUGUGCUGCCUGCUCUCCCAGCACAGCGAAGCAGAAGCUGUCCCGUGUAGGAAGAAACAAGGAACUUGUCACAGGAUUCCUUCGCUGCUUAGCAAAGCCAGCAAAGUUAUUUUUUAGCCAUCAGAGACCAGGAAGGACAGAAGUCUGCCAAGAAACCCCUGUUAUGCUGCAUACCAGGCUGCAAAAUAGCUGUUUAAUAGCAGAAUGAAGUAAGAGCUGCAUUCCAUGCAUAAGGAAUUCCUUCCUCUGUAGUGUAAGUCAGCAUUGAAGGAGACAGAACAUCCAACUGCCAACAUCACUUUUCCUUUCUCUCUGUAGGACAACUUAUUCAUUAUUUGUGGAAACUGUGAUCAGUAUGUAUUCUUGAAAAAUGCUGUUUAUCUCUAAACAUUAGUAAGAAAAUAGGAAAGCAGUUCUCAGGAGCUGGCAGGAACCGGGAAUGCAUGAAAUAAUGCAUAACUUAGAUUUUAUUUUUCUCUAGUAAAAAACUGACGUUGCUUUCUCAGUCAGAAACAGAAUUUGCAGGAUCUGGCUCUAGUUCAGGAAAGCCACUUAUUAAAACUUAAUGUACUGAAUUAUUUCUCUGGCCCUCUCCUUCAUGUAAUGCUUCUAAAAUAUUUGAAUGGUG
rnacentral:lncRNA from 1 species